rnacentral:misc_RNA from 1 species
AUCUUAAAUUAUGGUAUUAAAAUAAUUGUGUUUGCUCGGAAACGAAAAAAAACCGACUUCAAUUACAUCGACGAGUAAUACAAUGUAGAUCGACGAAAAAAUAGUCAAGUCACCGCACCGUCACGCGUCACCAAAGAUUACUCAAAAAUUAGUUAUCAGAUCUGAAUAAAAUUUAUAUGUGACCACAUGACAAACAUCAGCUUUCGAUUAAAUUAAAAAUUAUUAAAAUCGGUACACCCAGUAAAAAGUUAUGCGGUAUAAUACAACGUAGGUCGACGAAAAAAGCGUCAAGUAAAAACGCAUUAUUAGAUAUAACUCGAAAAGUAGUUGUUAGAUCUCAAAUAAAUUUAAAUGGGACCAAUUGG